ACGUUUAAAGCAACUCUGUGAAGAAUGGCCUAUUUUUCAUCCUGAAAGAAAAGGAUUAGGAGAAUAUUUAAAUACUUUCGUUCUUAAAAAUUUUGAAUCCGUUAAAUUUAACAAUAAAAGUAACGUUGCUGAAGAACAGUUCCAGCCUUUAAAUAACAAACUGUUCAUAGAUCCUCGCGAUCCGAAAUCUGCAGACAAGAAAAUUACCCUUCUAGAAAAUAUAUUACGCAAUAAAUAUUAUAAUCAGUAUAAAAGGGCUAAUAAUUCAACAGCUCUGUUACGAAAUAAAGAAAUGUACGAGAAUUUGUUUGUCUACGAAUAU